rnacentral:misc_RNA from 1 species
AAGUGUGCAGGCUGAUAUGUAACAUCAUCUUACCAAUUUCUAUGUUUGGAAGGAUUGGUGCAGUAUUCCUAUAAAUCUUCUUGUAAUUACUCAUGACAUUAAUUUCUCUGCAAUCCAACAUGAAAAUGAUUGAACGAUAAUGAAAAUCUUUUUUAUGUAGAAAAAUGAACAAUGUCAUGAUUAUUAAGUUAAACGUUAUAUGCUGCAUGCCUAUUUAUGUAGUUCUUAACUUCUGUUCAUAUUUUUAAAAUCUGUAUCAUACAUGCUUUUGCAAUUAUUAGAAUAUGUCUUAAAAGAAUCAAUGGGAUAUUAAUGGACCUUAUUCAUUUCUGCCUGUAUCACAGUUUUAGUUAUUAUGAUUAUGAAUGCUUUAAGCAAAUUUUAAUGCACUUACAUUUCUAUAGUUGUCGGGUGAUAUACAUGAGGAGGUGGAGACUCAUAAUCACAUGCUGGACAGAAU